ACGGAAGGCAGCAGUGGGGAAUAUUGCACAAUGGGCGAAAGCCUGAUGCAGCAACGCCGCGUGAAGGACGACGUAUUUCGGUAUGUAAGCUUCUAUCAGCAGGGAAGAUAAUGACGGUACCUGACUAAGAAGCCCCGGCUAACUACGUGCCAGCAGCCGCGGUAAUACGUAGGGGGCAAGCGUUAUCUGGAUUUACUGGGUGUAAAGGGAGCGUAGGCGGCCAUGCAAGUCAGAAGUGAAAACCCGGGGCUCAACUCCGCGGACUGCUUUUGAAACUGUAAGGCUGGAUUUCUGGAGAGGUAAGCGGAAUUCCUAGUGUAGCGGUGAAAUGCGUAGAUAUUAGGAGGAACACCAGUGGCGAAGGCGGCUUACUGGACAGACAAUGACGCUGAGGCUCGAAAGCGUGGGGAGCAAACAGGAUUAGAUACCCUGGUA
rnacentral:rRNA from 1 species